CAAUAGCGUAUAGUAAAGUUGUUGCGGUUAAAAAGCUCGUAGUUGGAUUUCUGCUGAGGACGACCGGUCCGCCCUCUGGGUGAGCAUCUGGUUCGGCCUGGGCAUCCUCUUGGAGAGUGUAGUUGCACUCAAGUGUGUGGUGCACAAUCCAGGACUUCUACUUUGAGGAAAUUAGAGUGUUUCAAGCAGGCAUAUGCCUUGAAUACGUUAGCAUGGAAUAGUAAGAUAGGAUCUUGGUUCUAUUUUGUUGGUUUCUAGAGCUGAGGUAAUGAUCAAUAGGGAUAGUUGGGGGGCAUUCGUAUUUAACUGUCAGAGGUGAAAUUCUUGGAUUUCUUAAAGACGAACUGCUGCAAAAGCAUUUGCCAAGGGUGUUUNCGUUGA
rnacentral:rRNA from 1 species